GUUGUCCUCACAAAGACACAGCAGCUUCCCCUGCAUUUCUUAUAUCCAAUAUCAGGAUUGUUAUGGAGAUGGAUUUGGAUUGCCCUGGGACAUGUUUUCAACUGUGAAAAAUCUACAUAUAACCUGUUCUCAAGGGCUCUAUCACCAUUUUUCAAGAAGCUUGAUUCUUCUUAGGCAAUUGACUAUUCAUUCUGAAACAAUGGUAUCAUUCAUUGGAGAAAUGAGCACUUUCAAGACAUUGUCUCACCUAUUCAUCAGUCGCUGUCAGGAGCUCAUUUUCAUUGGGGGUUUACAUUUUAUGCCCUCCUUAUGUUCCUUAGAGAUCAGUUUUUGCUCAAAAUUCACAUCCUGGUUGAGCAAGGGAAUGGAGCAGGCAGCAUUGCUACAUAAGCUAGCUUAUAUCUAUAUAGAAAGUUGCCCAAAACUGGAAUCUCUGCCUAUUUGGUUACCUCAUCUCCCUGCUCUGGAGAAACUGGAAAUCGCUAAUUGCUCUUUGAUUCAGUCAUUGCCAGAGAAUGGCUUACCUUCUUCUCUUAAAUCAUUGCACAUCAAAAAAUGUGACCAAAGGUUCACCCAACGGUGCCAAGAAGAGGGUUCUCACGAAUGGCUCAUGAUCCAGCACGUACCUGAUCGGAAAUUUACAUAAAAAUGAUUGACAUAUAUGCUUCAAAUUUCUGCUUCCAUUUGUUGGUAUGAAUGGAAAUUCAAGGAAGUGCUCUUCCCACGUUAGCACCAGUUAGAAAGGACUUCAUGGGUUUCUAACUUUUAAUACUCAUUAUCUGCGAGUAAUAUCCAUUUUCUUUGCUUCAUUCAACCAAAUCUGUCUGGUGAUAUCAUCUUUUUUGAUUUGUGCCCCUGAAUGCACAUGACUUUUGGUUUAAGUUUUAAACUUCGAACUGCUAUUCUUGUCCUUUGGGCUUAUAUUGAUGCAGCUAUCAUUCGUUCAAAUGAGAUCUGAAUCAUUUGCUAUGACCAAUAUUGUUGUAACUAAUUUCGAUGAGACACAAAAACUUCCUCUAAAUUUCUGGGUUUCAAUUUCUGAUUUUCUGGUUGUAUCUAUGGUGCACGUUUGGUUGAACAGUUUCCAAGGUCCAAUAUGACGAUGUUUGUGUGUUGUAAGAGCUCAUCAA